CUCCUACGGGAGGCAGCAGUGAGGAAUAUUGGUCAAUGGGCGCAAGCCUGAACCAGCCAAGUCGCGUGAAGGAAGACGGCCCUACGGGUUGUAAACCUCUUUUGCCGGGGAGCAAGCCUGAGCACGUGUGCCCAGGCGGAGAGUACCCGGAGAAAAAGCAUCGGCUAACUCCGUGCCAGCAGCCGCGGUAAUACGGAGGAUGCGAGCGUUAUCCGGAUUUAUUGGGUUUAAAGGGUGCGCAGGCGGAGGCACAAGUCAGCGGUAAAAUCGCGGGGCUCAACCCCGCUCCGCCGUUGAAACUGUGU
rnacentral:rRNA from 1 species